UUUUUGUUUUUUCCUCAGGCAUGAAAAGACUCCAAACACAAACCUGAACUCUAUUUAUUUUCUUUCCUUCACUGUCUCUGUUCAUUAAAAAAUCCAGAAAAAUAGUGAAAGUCUGGUGUAUAAAUAGUCUGGUGUACUAACAGUGUUUUAGAUAAGCUUAACACAUCCUGUCUCUUUCUGGGUUAAGACGUGCAACACAGCUCUCUUGAAACUUAGAUGCAGCUGCAGGAAGAUACAGACAACACAUACUAUAAUACAAGAUCAAAGGGAUCUGUGCACCAUAUACAGAUCUUUUGAACUAUUACAGAAUAUAAGAAGCAGAAGCAGCCAAAAUCAUCACCAGACGUCCCUCAGAAGAUGGCUAAACUAUUGAGUCUUAUUAAAAAAAUACCAGAAUUUCUGAAACGAUCUCCUUAUCUCGUCACUCUUCCAUCUGGCUUUUCUGUAAUUCAAGUGGAGAAGAUCCUUGAAGUCCACUUUACAUGUCCUUGUGCCGUUGAUGUAAAUGCCAAACUUACAGAGUCCAUGUUUGUUGGACCUUCUUUUUUUAUUUUCGCUUUACUGUUUUUCUUUUUUAGGCCUUUGAAAUUUGGACGCUUUCAUUGUCCUCCAGGAGCAAAUAAUGAUACCCAGCAGGACUGUGCUAAAGCUUUCAUAUAUUGUCUGAUUCCUCCUAUUAUGUGGGUUAUCGUCUUGUUUCUCAAUGGAGAUUACUUUUCUUGUGCCAAGACACACUGGAAUGGAGUUUAUGUUUUUGAUGAGCAGCUCAACAGGUCAUGGUGUAAACCUAUCGAAAGGACACAAAAUGAGAAUGAGCUACGUCUUUUGACUCAAAAAUAUAUUCAUGACUCUCAGAAUAUAGGUUAUGUCAUACUUGCUAUCUCCAGUGUCAUGGUGAUUGUCGUAGUGGGUAUUUACGACAGCUGCAUAAGUGGAAAAUGUGACAGAUGCCCAAAACAACUGUUAUCCUGUUGUGGACGAACAGCAGAGGGACAGAGGCAGGGACAAGUCUGGAGACAAAGUCAUGGACAAAGAAAGGAAUCAGUUUCUUUAGAGCUUUGUUCUGAAGGAAGAAUUAAUGUAGAACCAGCUGUAUAAAUUUUAAACUGAUUGGAUUCAUAUGAUCUGAUUAUUGUUCUUCAGCUUCACACAUCAAAAACAGCUACUAGCGAAGACUGUUUAAUGCAUUAUCCUUACACAUGUGAAGUUGUUCAAAAAGCAUCUAACCUCUUAAAUGUUAACCCCAUUUUUGAACAUAAACGUAAAAGUGCACUAUCCAAACUUAAAUUGUUCUAAUUCAUGAAAGCAAUUCAUUUUGUAAUAUGAUAUUAAAGUACCAUUUCCAUGGUAAAGCAAUGUCUGAUUUUAAAAUGGUUUUCACAGAAUGAAUUUUGAGGUUUUAAGCUUUCAAAUGAUACAUAAUUUAUGAUGUGAUAAAGGGGAAAAAAACAACCAAAAAUACUUUUUGUGACAGCCCUCACAACUCCUGUUAUGAUGUAGAUUUUUGAGGUUCACUGUUGUCAUAGAUUAAUCUAUUACUGUUCCUACAUAAUUUGUAACAUGGUUACAGAUUUAAAAAGUAAAUGUAAAAUUAUGAGCUUGUAAAAAAGGAUGUGUUAAUAAAAUUCAUUUCACUCUCUCUUUGUCUGCAAUAGACAAAGAUAUUUAACAAAAAUUAAAGGGACAAAUAUUUAAAGAAGUUCACUUCCAGAGCAAAAAUUGACAGAUAAUGUACUCAGUCCCUUGUCAUCCAAGAUGUUUAUGUCUUUCCUUCUUCAGCCAUAAAGAAAUUAUGUUUUUUGAGGGAAACAUUUCAGGAUUUU